rnacentral:tRNA from 1 species
AAAAUCCGUCGAAUUUUANAAUCGUGAGGGUUCAAGUCCCUCUAUCCCCN